GAGAAAGUUAGUCUAACCAAGACA
rnacentral:tRNA from 1 species